UGGAGGCGGAUAGGCUCUGGUGGGCCUUGCGGACUUCAAAUCCGUUGGCGGUAAUUAUAAUUGCCGCGGGGGGUUCGAUUCCCUCCCCCUCCGC
rnacentral:tRNA from 1 species